UACGAAGGGGGCUAGCGUUGCUCGGAAUUACUGGGCGUAAAGCGCACGUAGGCGGUCUUUUAAGUCGGGGGUGAAAUCCUGGAGCUCAACUCCAGAACUGCCUUCGAUACUGGGAGUCUCGAGUUCGGGAGAGGUGAGUGGAACUGCGAGUGUAGAGGUGAAAUUCGUAGAUAUUCGCAAGAACACCAGUGGCGAAGGCGGCUCACUGGCCCGAUACUGACGCUGAGGUGCGAAAGCGUGGGGAGCAAACAGG
rnacentral:rRNA from 1 species